rnacentral:rRNA from 1 species
GUCUAUGGCCAUUCCAUCCUGAACAUGCCAGUCUUGUUUGAUCUGGGAAGCUAAGCAGGGUUGGGCCUGGUUAGUACUUUGAUGGAAAGUUUACAGAAUGGGAGUCUAUACU